UUUCUUUUCCUAAUAUCUCGCCUUUUUCGCUUCCGUGCCCCUGCUCAGCGGCAAGGCAACCUCAACUUGGACGAAAUUACCCUCCAUCCCCCCUUAAAAUCACACACACCGAACCCUUUUUUUUUAUUUUUCCACUCACUCCACAGUCAACUCCAUGCGCGCUUGAAUGGAUUUGGUGGAAGGCGUUGGAGAGAGUUCCUCGCCGCCGCGCGCCUUCAGCGGCUGCAGCAACUACGACGUCCAUAACAACGUCUACAACCGCCUCGUUGAAACCGGCCACGACCAAGCCGUUUCCAACCCCAACUUCCGCGAACACUUGGAGGCUCACUUCAAUCGCUUGCCACCGAGUUAUGGACUGGAUGUGAAUAUCGAUAGAGCUGAAGAUGUUCUGUUGCAUCAAACCCUUCUUGCUUUGGCUAAGGACCCUCACAAGCGCCCUGUAUACCAUAUACGCUUCCUCGAGAAUAUUUCAACUAGAACAGAUGGUGAAGAUGAACAAAUUUUAAGUACUCAUUAUAGCCCUGGAUCAACUUCUCAUGCAACAAAUGGGGGAGCUGUAUCACCUGGUAAAAGUAAGAUGAGGGAUAUUGCAAAUGAGUUUGAGCCUUGCUCGAAGCUCGAGGACCUAAAUUUGGAUGUCAGAAAGAACUCAAAGGUGACAGAGGAAAAAUUUCUCACUGACAAUUUUUUCCAGAGGCACGAACAUUCAAGUGUCCCUGUUCAUGAAAUAAUAUUUUCCACUGUUGACAAGCCAAAGCUCUUAAGCCAGCUGUCCGCUUUGCUGUCUGAUAUUGGACUUAACAUACGUGAAGCUCAUGUUUUCUCCACAACUGAUGGCUAUUCCCUUGACGUGUUUGUGGUAGAUGGAUGGCCAGUAGAGGAAACAGAUGAUUUGUAUGAUGCUAUGGAAAAAGCUGUAGCAAGAAGCGAGGGGUCAUGGUCUCGUUCUUCAAAUUCUCAUUCAGCUGUGGAGAAAGCCUUAGCAACUGAAGGAAAAUCAGGAGAUUGGGAAAUAGAUAGGAGGUUGCUAAAGUUAGGAGAAAAAAUAGCAUCUGGAUCCUCUGGAGAUUUGUAUCGUGGAGUUUAUCUUGGUGAAGAUGUUGCUGUUAAGGUUCUGAGAUCAGAGCAAUUGAAUGAUGCUUUAGAGGAUGAGUUUGCUCAAGAAGUGGCCAUUCUGAGGCAGGUGCAUCAUAAAAAUGUUGUUCGUUUCAUUGGUGCAUGUACAAAGUGUCCACAUUUGUGCAUAAUAACAGAGUAUAUGCCUGGAGGAAGUCUGUAUGAUUACAUGCAUAGAAAUCAUAAUGUCUUGGAGCUGUCUCAAUUACUAAAUUUUGCAAUUGAUGUCUGCAAGGGUAUGAAGUAUUUGCAUCAAAACAACAUAAUUCACAGAGAUCUGAAGACGGCUAAUUUGCUGAUGGAUACGCACAAUGUUGUUAAAGUCGCAGAUUUUGGAGUUGCUCGAUUCCUAAAUCAGGGGGGAGUGAUGACAGCAGAAACUGGAACAUAUAGAUGGAUGGCACCAGAGGUUAUAAACCAUCAGCCUUAUGAUCAGAAAGCAGAUGUAUUCAGUUUUUCCAUUGUACUGUGGGAAUUAGUGACGGCAAAGGUACCAUAUGACACCAUGACUCCACUACAAGCUGCCUUGGGUGUGAGACAGGGUCUGCGUCCAGAACUUCCGAAGGAUGGGCACCCUAAACUAUUAGAGUUGAUGCAAAGAUGUUGGGAAGCAAUUCCAAGCCACCGUCCAUCCUUUAAUGAGAUAACCAUUGAACUUGAAAAUCUUUUGCAAGAAAUGGAGAAAGAUUCAGAAGCGAAUGGUGCUUGACUAAGCACGAACUAAUAUAUAUUCCAGACGGCUGGAUGGAUCUGACCUUUUUUUCCCUCCCUCUGGCCGCUGUCGAGUUUUUCUCACGUUCCCUUGUGGCACCGAGGGAGAAAGCAGUUCGCAGAAGUUGUGAUCGUUACAAAGUGAGAAAAUGUAAAGAGGCCUCUGAGCUUCUACUCUUACCAAUAUAAGAACCUGCGCAGCAUAUCUGUGUUCUCAAGAGCAGAACAAUGGCCAAUCAGGAAUUGGGCUUAUAUUACCCGGAAAGCAGAUUCGUCUUCGCUCGACCCUGUUGUAGAUGUCGGAUGUGAAAUUCUCUACUUCUUGGCCCCAAGACAGGGGAGGUCUUGUUCGCAGAUCUUACAAAGAGUCACAUUGUGACUUCCUCGUUUAGAUUUGGAUUAGUUAGCAAUUUAGGAUCAUGUUUUUGUCUUUCGUUGAAGAUAACUUUUGCUCCAAUCUUCCCUACAUCUGUUUCCAAUAACAUAACUAUAUGAAAGGUUUUUGUUUUUUUGGUGAUGAAUAUAUGAAUUUUCAGUGAUUUCAACGAGAUUAUGUGUUGAUGUUGUUC